rnacentral:rRNA from 1 species
AACGAACGCUGGCGGCAGGCCUAACACAUGCAAGUCGAACGAGAAGCUACCUUCGGGUGGUGGACAGUGGCAGACGGGUGAGUAACGCGUGGGAACGUGCCUUUCGGUUCGGGAUAACCCAGGGAAACUUGGGCUAAUACCGGAUACGCCCUUCGGGGGAAAGAUUCAUUGCCGAAAGAUCGGCCCGCGUCGGAUUAGCUAGUUGGUGGGGUAAAAGCCUACCAAGGCGACGAUCCGUAGCUGGUCUGAGAGGAUGACCAGCCACACUGGGACUGAGACACGGCCCAGACUCCUACGGGAGGCAGCAGUGGGGAAUAUUGGACAAUGGGCGCAAGCCUGAUCCAGCCAUGCCGCGUGGGUGAAGAAGGCCUUAGGGUUGUAAACCCCUUUCAGCGGGGAAGAUAAUGACGGUACCCGCAGAAGAAGUCCCGGCUAACUCCGUGCCAGCAGCCGCAGUAAAAC